CAGGGAUUUAACCAGGACUCAGACCUGAGAUACGUUGAGAAGACUGCUCAAAGUCAAUAAGCACGCAGUGAGAAACCUUUUCAUGCCAAAUUUGUGCCCUCCAGCCCAGCUGUUUCAGUUCAAAUGUCUUUGGAAUAAGUUCACAACAGCAACUCUCUUCAUGAAGAAAAGAGGAAUUUAUAUUUGUUUCUUCAAUGACAUCAUCUACUGGCAGCCUUUGACAUAAAUCUGCUC
rnacentral:lncRNA from 1 species